rnacentral:rRNA from 1 species
CCUACGGGAGGCUGCAGUGAGGAAUAUUGGUCAAUGGGCGCGAGCCUGAACCAGCCAAGUCGCGUGAGGGAAGAUGGUCCUAUGGAUUGUAAACCUCUUUUGUCGGGGAGCAAAAGACGCCACGCGUGGCGUUCAGAGAGUACCCGAAGAAAAAGAAUCGGCUAACUACGUGCCAGCAGCCGCGGUAAUACGUAGGGGGCGAGCGUUAUCCGGAUCCACUGGGUGUAAAGGGAGCGUAGACGGCCAAGCAAGCCAGGGGUGAAAGCCCGGGGCCCAACCCCGGGACUGCCCUUGGAACUGCAUGGCUGGAGUGCGGGAGGGGCAGGCGGAAUUCCUGGUGUAGCGGUGAAAUGCGUAGAUAUCAGGAGGAACACCGGCGGCGAAGGCGGCCUGCUGGACCGCGACUGACGUUGAGGCUCGAAAGCGUGGGGAGCGAACAGGAUUAGAUACCCCAGUAGUC